GGUUGGUUUUCAGAACAAUGGUCAAGUGCCAUGAUGUGUCUUGCCCCAUGUUUGAAACCCUGAUGAUGCAUUGGUACACUUAUUUAUUACAGAAAUUAACGCUCAAGGUUUCAAUACAUAUUAUUGGUGUGAUUCGUAGGUUUCUGAAAAAUGCAUCCGACUGUGAGAUCUGUCCAUCUGUGAAAUGUGCUUGAAAUAAAGACGACCUGGAACGUGCCCAGAAUGUUGAAUUGACACUUACAUCAUGUGACAGUGCCUCGUAAAUAAUCAGUACGACGUGGCUAUAAGAAGUGUUCAAAAUCCAGACAAGAGAUUGCGUGAAAAAAACGUUGUUCAAAGGAUACAGGGUAGAGAGGGUGAAUUCGCUAUGCAAUUUGUUUCACCUUUGAAUACAGAAAUUCUGCUGGAUUUAGCACGCUGCUCAGCUAGCACCUCUGUCCUACCUAUAGUAGCUGGCUAGGAAACGUUAGCUAGCUAGCAUUAGGUCUGACUCAAGAAUGGGAAAAUUCUUAAGAAAGAAUCGGAUGAAGACACAACAGAAGGGGCCAUGGGGCGCUGUGUUGUAUUUUAAAUAGUUAAAUCUGUUAUCAAUUUCUAUUCUGACUUGUAAUGUUAAAAAAGGUAGAGAAAAUGAACUGUUUCUCUGAAUUAGCUAGGCUCACGUUGAUAAACUACACAGAUUUGAGUCACUGCAAUUAAAAUUGUUUUCCCAAUGUAUCCUUCAAUUCAAUUGUUUUCACUAUGUAUUGCAUGUUUGAGGAGAUUAUAUGCUGUUAAACAUGUUUGUAACUUAAUAUUAAUAAAUGGCCAGAAGGUU